rnacentral:lncRNA from 1 species
AACAAGAACAAUAAAAAAGCUUCCAUAAAAACCCAUAGGCCAUAUUUUUGUAAGAGACCACAUAGUUUCAGAGGUUUAUAUCUAAUACAUCCUAGUUUUCACUACUCUAUAACUUCGAUUCUACCGCAUAAAUAAACCUAAAAACCAACUAGUAGGACUUACCACCACCUGUUUGAAAUCUAAACCAAAUUACAAUUCAAAAUCUUCCAAUUUAAACAACAUAAUAGAAAUGUAAGACAAAAGUACUCAACACUAAUUUAAGAUUUUUGUUUUACUGCAAAAGAUCAAACCCCCUACUUAUUGAACAGAAGGGGGAAAUAGGAAAUUUUUUACUUUAAGAUUGAUGUGAGCCGUAUCAGCAGGCUUCUUGCCUUCUUCUUGAUUGGCUACUCCUGACAUCUUCUUCUAUCUAUGGGCCAUAUGGGAUUAGUAGGGUUCAAAAUAGCAGUGGCAUAGUGGUUCGCAGCCGCUAUUUCGCAGUAGCGGCGCCCCCGACACCACUAAACACAGUUCAACAAAUUUAACAUGCAGCGGAUGGCAGCCCGCAAGUAGCAGUGUAACGGGAAAUAGCGGCGAUAACAAGUCCGCUAUUUCAGCUAAAUCGAUGGGUUAAAGUAAACAGAGCAGUGCAGCAGACGCAGAGACGAGAAACAGAAACCGAGCCUGCCAUAACUCAAAAUCUGAUGACUCAAGUAGAAAUCAAUGUUUAAAUUAAGUUUAGGGUAUCAAAAAUUACCUUAGCUAAAUUCCUGGUCUCUCGGCAACUUGAAGGCGCUUGGGUCCUGAAGAGGAGGGUGGCUCGGGAAUUUUCGAAGGAGUGUUUAUUCGGACUAAGAAUUUUAUUUGAAUUUUAAAUUGUAAAUAUCUGGAAUGGGUUCAAUGGGAUUGGUCUCGAAACUUUUUUUUUUUUUUUUUAAAUCGAACUUUAAUAAAUUGGAUUGGACCGAAGUAUGUUGGAUUCAAAAUUUUUUGUCAUUGAAUUAAUUUUAAGUAUAAUGUAUC